rnacentral:rRNA from 1 species
UGAGUUUAAUCUUGGCUCUACAUGAACGUUAUUUAUUAGCUUAACACAUGCUAGUCGAGGGAGGUAAUAACUAAACUUGGCGAAAGGGUGAGUAAAAAAAUUAUUCAACAAUAAAUUCAACUGUUAAAAGCAAUUGGUAUGGUUUGAGGAUAAUAAAUGGAUUAGAUAAAGGAGAAAUAAAGCUCUUGUCAAUGAUCCAUAAUUGAUCUGAGAGGAUGAUCAAUCACAGUGAUAAUGAAAAAAGGAUCACACAAAAUAAAAUUUGUCAGCAGUGAGGAAUAUUGGACAAGAAGGGAAACCUUGCUCCAGCUAAAUAGAAUAAAUAUAAGACUAUAAGGUCAAGCACAUAAUGAGGCUUAUAAUUUAAUAUCCUGACUAAAUUCGUGCCAGCAGUCGCGGUAAUACGAAUAGGAUAAACGUUAUGUAUUUUAGGUGUAAAGGGUAAUUAGAUGGGAAACUAGAAUGGGAAAGAAAUGAAAUAGGAAUUUCAAGUGUAAUGAUGGAAUAUAAAUAAAUUUGAAGGAACAUCAAUAAGUGAAUGCAUAUUUCGUGAACCAUUGACAUUAAGGUACCAAAGUGUGGGGAGCAAAAAAGAUUAGAUACCUUUGUAGUCCACACCAUAAACGAUGAAUGCAUAAAGAACUAAAAGCAUUCCACCUGAGGAGUAUAAGGGCAACCUAGAAACUCAAAAGAAAAGAUGGUCUAUCAAAUAAGCAGUGAAGCAUGUUGUUUAAUUAGAUGAUCCACUGUAAAUCUUACCUUUGCUAGUCAGUUUAACCAGGUGUUGCAUGGCUGUGUUCAGUUCUUGUUGUGAAACGUUGAGUUAAUUCUGUAAAAGAACGAAACCCCAAACCUAAUAAGUUUUCGGAUUAGUAACAUGGGAUCAACACAAGUCAUCAUGACCCUAAUGUAAAGGGCUAUAGACGUGCCACAAAAGUAUCAAACGAAAUAGUUGCAGUUUAUCAGCUAUUCUGUGACGUAUUACUUCAGUUCUGAUGAAUAUCUGAAAUUCGGUAUUCUAAAGUGGGAAUUGCGCGUAAUCGUAAAUAAGUAUGUUACGGUGAAAUUAUUGCUGAUAGAUGUACUAAUUGCCCGUCAAGGGCUGAAAAUGAAUUUAUUUCAGGAUUGGUUCUAAGUCGUAACUGGUUGGUGUAGGGGAACCUGUACCAGAUUUGUAUU